rnacentral:rRNA from 1 species
ACGGAGGGGGCGAGCGUUAUUCGGAAUUAUUGGGCGUAAAGGGCGCGUAGGCGGCUUGACAAGUCAAAGGUGAAAUCCCUCGGCUCAACUGAGGAACUGCCUUUGAAACUGUCUGGCUUGAGGCCGGGAGGGGGUAGCGGAAUUCCCAGUGUAGCGGUGAAAUGCGUAGAUACUGGGAGGAACACCAGUGGCGAAGGCGGCUACCUGGACCGGUUCUGACGCUGAGGCGCGAAAGCGUGGGUAGCAAACAGGA